CUGCCCUAUCAACUUUCGAUGGUAGGAUAGUGGCCUACCAUGGUUUCUACGGGUAACGGGGAAUUAGGGUUCUAUUCCGGAGAGGGAGCCUGAGAAACGGCUACCACAUCCAAGGAAGGCAGCAGGCGCGCAAAUUACCCAAUCCCGACACGGGGAGGUAGUGACAAUAAAUACUGAUACAGGGCUCUUUUGGGUCUUGUAAUUGGAAUGAG
rnacentral:rRNA from 1 species